UUUGGAGAUAGUGCUAAUCUUUAUGCAAGAUAGAUGCACGGUUUGCAUGGAACAUACGAUAUGGUCAAAAAUCAAUUAGGACGCACCUGAUAUCACUUCUUGAUGACGUGUGUCAUAUGGAAUCUCGCUUUGGUCUGUUUAGAAACAAUGUUAGUUUCGGUGCAAGAUAUGUGGAUGGUUUGCGCCUAAUGCACCAUAGUCAAAGAAACCAUUUUGGAAGCACCUGUUGGUACUUCGGUGAAGAGGCUCAAGUGGAAGCUCAGUUUGAUCUGUUUGGAGAUAGUGCUUAUCUUGAUGCAAGAUAGCUGCA
rnacentral:lncRNA from 1 species